rnacentral:rRNA from 1 species
UACAGAGGCCCCGAGCGUUACUGAGAAUCACUGGGUUUAAAGGGUGCGUAGGUGGCGCGUUAAGUCUGUUGUGAAAUCCCUUGGCUCAACCAAGGAAAUGCUUCGGAUACUGGCGUGCUUUGAGGCUAGUAGGGGUCACUGGAACUGACGGUGGAGCGGUGAAAUGCGUAGAUAUCGUCAGGAACGCCGAUGGUGAAGACAGGUGACUGGGCUAGUUCUGACACUGAGGCACGAAAGCGUGGGGAGUGAACGGG